rnacentral:rRNA from 1 species
UACAUGUGGGGCAAGCGUUGUUCGGAAUUACUGGGCAUAAAGGGUGCGUAGGUGGUUUGGUAAGUCAGUGGUGAAAUCGUCCGGCCCAACCGGACACGUGCCAAUGAUACUGCCGAACUCGAGUGCGUGAGGGGUGGGGGGAACGAGCAGUGUAGCGGUAAAAAUGCGUAGAUAUUGCUCGGAAGGCCAAAGCCGAAGGGACCCCACUGGUACGUAACUGACGCUGAGGCACGAAAGCGUGGGGAGCAAACAGG